AAUGCAGGUGAGGAUCAGGUUGGCGCUGGUGACUGCUAACCAGCCUCUGGUAACGGGACAGAAGAGGGAGGAGAAGCAGCUUGAGGCAUCAUUAGAUGCACUGCUGAGUCAAGUGGCUGAUCUGAAGAACUCCCUGGGGAGUUUUAUUUACAAACUGGAGAACGAGUAUGACCGUCUGACCUGGCCCUCUGUCCUGGACAGUUUUGCCUUGCUGUCUGGACAGUUGAACACUCUGAACAAGGUCUUGAAGCAUGAGAAGACACCACUGUUCCGUAACCAGGUCAUCAUCCCUCUGGUGUUGUCCCCAGACCGAGACGAAGAUCUCAUGCGGCAGACUGAAGGACGAGUACCUGUUUUCAGCCAUGAGGUGGUUCCUGACCAUCUGAGAACAAAGCCUGACCCUGAGGUUGAAGAGCAAGAGAAGCAGCUGACAACGGAUGCUGCUCGCAUUGGUGCUGAUGCAGCUCAGAAGCAGAUUCAGAGCUUGAAUAAAAUGUGCUCAAACCUUCUGGAGAAAAUCAGCAAAGAGGAAAGAGAAUCAGAGAGUGGAGGUCUCCGACCGAACAAGCAGACCUUUAACCCAGCAGACACCAAUGCCUUAGUGGCAGCUGUUGCCUUUGGGAAGGGGCUAUCUAAUUGGAGGCCUUCAGGCAGCAGUGGUCCUGGCCAGCCAGGCCAGCCAGGAGCUGGGACAAUCCUUGCAGGAGCGUCAGGAUUACAGCCGGUGCAGAUGGCAGGCGCUCCAAGCCAGCAGCAGCCAAUGCUCAGUGGGGUGCAGAUGGCCCAAGCAGGUCAACCAGGGAAAAUGCCAAGUGGAAUAAAAACCAACAUCAAGUCGGCUUCAAUGCAUCCCUACCAGCGGUAUAUGCCUUCUUGCUUCCCCCCUUGUCUGUGAAAUGUUGAGACGAAACAUGCUGAGCACUCUACCUGGGUCAUCUUUCAUCUUCACAACAAUCCUGUGAGACAGGUCUUUGGAGUCAGGUGUGUCCCCAAAGCCACUUAAGUAUACCUGGAACACAUGAGGCUUUCAGUAAACAUUUAUUGACUCAACGGAUACUGCCACCCCAAGGGAAGUAGGAAGGCUUUUGAAUUCUUACUGUCUUCCGUGCUUGACUCUGGGUCCCUGGAUCUCUCUUGUCUUUCUUACAUUGUGUUAUUCACUCAGCAAACAUCGUGGAGGGUCAGGUGAGCCAGACAUUGGGACAGAUGCUAGAGACAGAUGACUAAAACUGGGUCCUGCUGAGAGGAACUUAUAGUUAGGAGAGGGGAGGAAUACAGAUAAUUGCAUUGCAGUAAGAUUGUGGGAGCAAAGUGAGGGAGUGAUUUGUUGCUUGGGAGAGCUGCUUGGUCUUUGUGUUGAGUUAGGGAACAAGGCUUGGUGGGUGGAGGGGAGGCUGAUAUCCUUGGGAAACAGUUCAAGCAUAAGAUGUGACCCAGGAGAGCAGCACAGGUAGAAUGCGAGGCUGAGGGCCAGAUCAGGUCGGCCUUAAUGUACAGCGCUAAGAAGUUUGAGCCUUUUGAAUGGUUGAAUUCUUUGGCCUUUUCCCUUCUAGGGUAGGCACUAAUAGUUUAGAUCAUGGCUGUACUUUGGUGCUGACCUCUUAACUCUAAGACUAAACUUCCACACCAUUGACAAACACAUUGCUUCUCCCAAACCACCACCCCUUCUGAAUUCCACAUGUACAUCAUAUAAUCCUGUAAGCAUUUACUGGAUCACUCUAUGCAAAGCACUGUUCUAGGAGCUGCUGGAGAUACAGAUUUCAUUUUGCUAAAACCUAGUCCUCACCAGUGAGUGUGUGCAACAGGGAGGGGAGAGUGCAGGAAGCCAGAUAGACAGUGAAGUAUACAGAGAGGGUCCAGCUGUCUCAGGGAAAUCUCCAGCGUCUGCUCCUCCAAUCCCAUCAAUUUCCAAACCUUCUUAGGUCGGGGUGCUCUCUUAUCUGGUCUCCCUCCAGUACCCUCAUCACACUGGCUGCCAGAAUGAAGUGAUUUGACCAGACAGUAAACCCCAUGCAAGGACAGCAUGUGCCUUGUUCAUUGAUGUGUCACCAGCAAUCAACUCCAUCUUGCACGUGGUAGGAUGUUGAUAAAUAUGUGAAGAGUAUUAGAUAAUACAGGCCUGACUAUAGCCUCCUGAAAACUCUUCACUGUUUCCCCUCUGCUUCCAAAAUAAAUCGAACUGCCCCAUUUGGCGUUCAAGACCUCCUACCUUCAGCCACAGUUGACUUCACUUCCCGCUCCUUUCACUACCUGGAAGGCCAGUGUAGCUGGUGAUUCACUAACUUCUGCUCCAGGCUACUUGUAUUCUCUCACCUCCACUCCACAAAAUCCUCCCAGCAACUCCUAAUGCUAGUCUUAUCCAAGUUUACAGGCUCGUAGGGAAGGCUUUCCUCCGCAACUGCUCCCUGGGGCUGAGACCUCUCAGCCUCACCUAGUCGGCGGCUCUCGCAGGCUGCCUCCAGCCCACCCCUCCCGUCCCACCCUCUAGAGAGGGAGCUCUUUGAGGGAAGGGCCGAGCCCUGGAACAUUUCCCAGGUUCCUAGGCUGCGUGGGCCGGCCACCAACAGAAGCUGUAUGGGUCGUGUUGGUGGAUUAACCCCCGGAGGCCCAGAAUGAGGCCAUCCAGGGGCGGAACGUCAGGAAGACGCAGGGUGCAACUCUGGCGGGCGGAGGCCAGGCCGCGCAAGCUGACCAGGCGGGCUGCGAUGCGGCGGGAAAGGGUGGGGAGCCUGGGCUGGGCA